rnacentral:lncRNA from 1 species
GAUGCAAUGCUAGUCUAAUGUUAAACCCACCACCAGGGGUUCUUUAGUAAAUACCUGAUUUUGCUAUUCCUCUGGGCCUAGUGAAAAAACCUGUACCAGGGGAAUUCCCUUCCACUAAAUCUUUCAUGCUACAACCCACCAAUUUGCUAGGCCAUUGUGUAUUCCUGUGUUUGGGUGUGACUUGGCUAUUGUCCUAAGUAAUUACUAUGCAGACUAGCCCUGAACUUUCCUAGCUCUGUACUUUGUAAUGCCUGAUCUUUUCCACUGUCUCUACUAGAAGUGAAUUUGAAUGUUACUGAAUAGGUAACAUUCUUACUGAAUUCCGAGCUCACCGUUGGCUUCAAGAAUUUUCGAUGAAUGAUUGGAACACUGGUGGAGGCUUAGCUAUGUCAAAAUCAAUCCUUAAAGGCACUUAUAAUAAAACAAUACUGAAAGAGAGCACAUGGACUAACUUGGGGACAGGGUUUGUGUAUACGGACUAUGGGAAUGCCAAGGUUCCAGGAGGCAAAGUUUCCUUGAAACUCUUCACCUCGUGACUGCUUUCAGGCCCUUAGGCCCACCAAGCAGACUGCACUGGAGUGGACGUAGCAAAUAUGACAAGAAGUUCCUGUGAAUUUCAGGUUCACAUGUGAGUAUUUUUUUCUUCAGGUAUUUUCUGUUGUUUGAGGUAGACAGUAUUUAUACAACCAGAAAAUAAGUCCCCCUGUUAAUGAAUUCCAAUAUGACAAGAAUCU